rnacentral:rRNA from 1 species
UACGGGGGGGGGCAAGCGUUGUUCGGAAUUACUGGGCGUAAAGGGCUCGUAGGUGGCCAACUAAGUCGGACGUGAAAUCCCUCAGCUUAACUGGGGAACUGCGUCCGAUACUGGAUGGCUUGAGUUUGGGAGAGGGAUGCGGAAUUCCAGGUGUAGCGGUGAAAUGCGUAGAUAUCUGGAGGAACACCGGUGGCGAAGGCGGCAUCCUGGACCAACACUGACGCUGAGGAACGAAAGCUAGGGGAGCAA